GGGGUCAUAGUUCAGUUGGUUAGAACGCAUGCCUGUCACGCAUGAGGUCGCGAGUUCGAGCCUCGCUGGCCCCG
rnacentral:tRNA from 1 species